GGCAGACGGGUGAGUAACGCGUGGGAAUCUACCUAUUUCUGCGGAAUAACACAGGGAAACUUGUGCUAAUACCGCAUACGCCUCGCAAGAGGGAAAGAUUUAUCGGAGAUAGAUGAGCCCGCGUCUGAUUAGCUAGUUGGUGGGGUAAUGGCCUACCAAGGCGACGAUCAGUAGCUGGUCUGAGAGGAUGAUCAGCCACACUGGGACUGAGACACGGCCCAGACUCCUACGGGAGGCAGCAGUGGGGAAUAUUGGACAAUGGGCGCAAGCCUGAUCCAGCCAUGCCGCGUGAGUGAUGAAGGCCCUAGGGUUGUAAAGCUCUUUCAGUAGGGAAGAUAAUGACGGUACCUACAGAAGAAGCCCCGGCUAACUUCGUGCCAGCAGCCGCGGUAAUACGAAGGGGGCUAGCGUUGUUCGGAAUUACUGGGCGUAAAGCGCGCGUAGGCGGACAUUUAAGUCAGGGGUGAAAUCCCGGGGCUCAACC
rnacentral:rRNA from 1 species